AGGUCCCGCCUGCCCUGUGACUAUAUGUUUAACGGCCGCGGUAUUUUGACCGUGCGAAGGUAGCGCAAUCACUUGUCUUUUAAAUGGGGACCUGUAUGAAUGGCAUAACGAGGGCCUAACUGUCUCCUUUUUCAAGUCAGUGAAACUGAUCUCCCCGUGCAGAAGCGGGGAUAGACACAUAAGACGAGAAGACCCUGUGGAGCUUCAGACACUAAAGCAGAUCAGUAUUAAUACCCUGAACAUAAGGCACGAAUAAGAUGAUUCCUGCCCUAACGUCUUCGGUUGGGGCGACCGCGGAGAAAUAUAUAACCCCCGCAAGGACUGAAUGUACUACAUUCACAACCAAGAGUGACAACUCUAAUUAACAGAACUUCUGACCAAUAAGAUCCGGCAAUGCCGAUUAAUGAACCAAGUUACCCCAGGGAUAACAGCGCAAUCUCCUCUUAGAGUCCAUAUCGACGAGGAGGUUUACGACCU
rnacentral:rRNA from 1 species